rnacentral:rRNA from 1 species
GACGAACGCUGGCGGCGUGCUUAACACAUGCAAGUCGAACGGAAAGGCCCUGCUUUGGUGGGGUGCUCGAGUGGCGAAAGGGUGAGUAACACGUGAGUAACCUGCCCUUGACUUUGGGAUAACUUCAGGAAACUGGGGCUAAUACCGGAUAGGAGCACCUGCUGCAUGGUGGGGGUUGGAAAGUUUCGGCGGUUGGGGAUGGACUGGCGGCUUAUCAGGUUGUUGGUGGGGUAGCGGCUUACCAAGGCUGUGGCGGGUAGCCGGCCUGAGAGGGUGACCGGCCACAUGGGGCCUGAGGUACGGCCCAGACUCCUACGGGAGGCAGCAGUGGGGAAUAUUGCACAAUGGGCGGAAGCCUGAUGCAGCAACGCCGCGUGCGGGAUGACGGCCUUCGGGUUGUAAACCGCUUUCGCCUGUGACGAAGCGUGAGUGACGGUAAUGGGUAAAGAAGCACCGGCUAACUACGUG